GAUGAAGAACGUAGUGAAAUGCGAUAACUAAUGUGAAUUGCAGAAUUCAGUGAAUCAUCGAGACUUUGAACGCACAUUGCGCCCCCUGGUAUUCCGGGGGGCAUGCCUGUCCGAGCGUCAUUGCUGCCCUCAAGCACGGCUUGUGUGUUGGGCUCCGUCCCCCCGGGGACGGGCCCGAAAGGCAGCGGCGGCACCGAGUCCGGUCCUCGAGCGUAUGGGGCUUUGUCACCCGCUCUGUAGGCCCGGCCGGCGCCAGCCGACAACCCAUCAUCCUUUUCAGGUUGACCUCGGAUCAGGUAGGGAUACCCGCUGAACUUAAGCAUAUCAAUAAGCGGAGGA
rnacentral:misc_RNA from 1 species